UACGUAGGGGGCAAGCGUUAUCCGGAUUUACUGGGUGUAAAGGGAGCGUAGACGGCAGCACAAGUCUGGAGUGAAAUCCCAUGGCUUAACCAUGGAACUGCUUUGGAAACUGUGCAGCUGGAGUGCAGGAGAGGUAAGCGGAAUUCCUAGUGUAGCGGUGGAAUGCGUAGAUAUUAGGAGGAACAUCAGUGGCGAAGGCGACUUUCUGGACUGUAACUGACGCUGAGGCACGAAAGUGUGGGGAGCAAACAGG
rnacentral:rRNA from 1 species